AGGGCUGAGAUGUAGCUCAGUGGUAGAGUACUUCUGGGAUUCAAUCCCCAGCAUUGCAAAACAAAGUAAACAAACCAGAAAACAACAACAACAAAAAACCCCAACAACACCUAUAUUCUCUUUUUUAUGUGGCAGUUGUACAAUGCUAAUUGCCAAGAUAUGAUCAGAAAGUUGCUGUUAAUUUUCUUAAAAAAAAAAAAUUUAAAGACAGACAUUUGGAAUUGCAAGGUGGAAUUGAUUACCUGGCCCUUAAUUAUUUUGAAGACAAGAAUCCACUUAUACUAUGUACCCAAAGAUCAAUGUCUCCCAUUUUACUCAGUGAUGAGUCUGUGGACAGACCACUUUCACUCUUGCUAUUGUAAUAUUUAAAAAGGAGUACCAGAAUACAACUCUUAAGACCAGUAUCUUUCUUACUACCAUUUUAAAGCCAAUCUUUGGGCUUUAGCACCAUGAACUUUUACGAAACUACCUAAGCCUUCUAAUUCUUAAAUUUCUUCAUCUUGAGCACCAGCUCAGGAUUGCCAUAGAAGGAUUAAAUAAGAGGACAUGUGCUGAGGAGCUUUUAAAAAUUAAAGGCCACCUCUUUAGAUUAUAUAAAAUGCACAGUUUAAUUCCGCUAGUAAUUAAAAGUAGUUUGAAAAAGCACCCUAGAGUGAGGAUUUAUCUUAGAAAUGAGGGGCCCUGUUUCCCCAUCUUACAAGAAAAAUAAGCCAAGAUCUAAUCAUUUUUCUGAGCAUAAACUUCAACAGUGACAUGGCUGCCUAGUAAAAACAAUAUCCCAGCCUCUAGUAUACAGAGUGGUGACUAAAUAUAUUAAUAUGAAACUUCUAAAGCAAAUAACUAGUCAUCACAACAGCAGUUCCUCCUAGUCACUGAUAAAGAAUACUAUUACUCUGAGAAGAAUGUCAAAAGAUCUGCCCCUGUGAGUGCAGUUUGCACUACCACCUCUUGGACAGCUGUAAGAAGAGAUUCCGGCUGUUUACAAUACUGAAUGAAUUUGGAGCUGGUUCUGUACAUGAAUCAAGAAGAAGAAUAACACCUUUUAUAUGGCCACACUGAUGACUGCUAAAGAACAUCGAAAGGACAUUCAGAGCAUGUGAGAUUUGAGGACUGCAAGCAGCUGAAAGAAGCUACACAUUCAGCAGACCUUCCCUUUUGAGAGUCUGGACAAGCUCCAGGUAACCUGGGCAGAGAGCUUGAAGGCUAGAAGACAGGCAGGCACUUUGAUAGAUGUUCCUCAGAAGAACAGGCUUGUUGCUUUGCAGUGUUAGUGACCUUUUCCCUUUGACGAUCCCCAGGUGGAGAUGGGGCAUGAGGAUCCUCCAGGGGAAAAGCUCACUGCCACUGGGCAACAACCCUGAGUCAGGAGAUUUUACUAAGAUUCUUUCCUGGGUCCAGAUAGGAGAGUGAAGACUCAAAGACAACCACCGCACAUCAAGAUGGGAGAACAUGGACAACAACUACCACUGCAACAACACUGAUCUCCUAAGCAAAUCAUUCUGUUCCAUGUGGUCCCCCAAAUCUCCUUUGAAGAGAACUGUGCCAGGCAUUCACAGACUUCAAGAUGCCUUGGGAUAUCCAUGGGAUGUAACACACAAUCAGCGGUUUGAGAAGAUAAAAGAGAACUGUAUCUCUGUAUGCUAUGCAUGCGGAUUGGCAGAAGACUAAUAAGUACAACUGGAAAUCUGACCAAAAAUGGUAUAGGGUUAUCUCACAUUGGGCAGUAUCUACAGAACCAGGACCCUACACUCUCUAGCUCUCGAUUGAUAAUAUUUGACAAACCAUUAUCCUUCCCAAAAGCAGUACAGAGAGCUGAAUCAUCAUCAGGAUUAAGAAAUGAGAACACAUCAAAAGGAGCCAAGUUUUCUACCUGAAGAUCAACAUGCCUGACACUAGCAUUUCAGAAUAGCAGAAUUAAGUAAGCUGUUGGGGUUGCAAUUCUUCCUUCUUAGUCUCCUCCUGUGAUGGUCUGCCUUUGUUUAUCUCUUUCGCUCCUAAGUGUGCAUUUCUUUGCUUAGUGUGCAUUUCUUUGCUUGUCUAUUUCUUCCUUGCUCUUUCUUCUCUAACUCGAGUAGUGUCUGAAUCAGUUCCAUGUUUCUCUUGGUAAUUUCUUCUGUGUGUGCCUUGUCUCACUUUCUCUUUUUGUUCCUAAGUGUGGUCUAUGCACUGUCUUAAAUGGAUCUCUCUAGUUUUUGUUUGCUUGCUAUUGCUCUUUGCUCUCAUAGAUCUAUCUAUCUAUCUAUCUUUCUUUCUUUUCUUCCUUUUUUCCUCUUUGAGGUCAUGCUUUGUGUUUUUUUGCCCUUUUCUUAUUGUGCCUACCUUGCUUUUUGUCUUGGUGCACUUGGUAUUUGUUACCUUCUCUCCUUUUUGUAAGUUGGACAAUUCACCUUUUUCUGAUUCUGGCGUCCAUUCUGCUCCUUAUCUCACAUUUCUCUUUGUUAUAUUUCCUCUCUGCCUCUCUAGUGCUAUUUUCUCUCUUUUCGCUCCUGUGUAUACCUCAGUGUCUCUUUGUGAUUUUGUAUUUCAGCAUUACUCUCUGCUUGUGUGUCCUCUCUACUUUUUCCUUUUCUACUCAUCUUUUGAGUAUUUCAGCCUCUUUGUGAGUCUAUGUUUCCCUCUCUCUGACUUCAUGUAAUCCUCUCUUGGCUAUUUCUUUGUGUAUACGGGCUAUGUGCAUAUGUGUGCAUGCUUGCUAUGUGUGGCAGAGGGGCUUCCUAACCCUUUCCCAAUAGGUUCAGAAUGUCAGCUAUCAAAAUCAGCAUUGCAGAGAUGUUCCUUGUGCCAAGCUGCCCUGUGAGAUGAUUCAAUACCAAAAUAUGGUCCUGGAAUCCAGACUGAAGUUAAAACCCCAAAGAUGGACAAAAGGUAGAAGCCCCAAAGUGGAAGACAGGUGGUUUGAAACUUGAGACUCAGGACUAAGAUGAAAAGCCCAUGUCUCAAGAUAGAUGGAAGUCUGAAGUCUGACAUAAGACCAAGGUCUUAGUUUGAGGAUUUAAGACCCACGGGUGGAAGACCCCACACCCAAAUAAGAGCAAGGAUUCAAGCCUCCCUACAUGGACGGAAGGCCUAAGAGAAACAGAUCCCUCAAGAAUAAAACCUGGAAACUUGGAGAUUCCAGGUUUCUGAUCUGGAACUCAGGAAGGACAGAAACCUCAACACUGGGGAAACACCAAGAUGAGGACCCUAAACCACAAAUCUUUUUCUAUUGCUAUUCUGCUCACUAUUAGGACAUUUUCAAUACUCCCCUUCCAGAUCUCUUAUUUGCAUGAAAGCCUGAUUCUUUUGAGAUGUACUUUUUGAUGUUGCCAUUUACCUUAAAGGAACGUAUCUUCAGAGUGACAGUAUUAUGCAUAGGCCAAUCUUGAGCCCAUUUUGAAGCCAUUCAUUAAGAUUUAAACCUCCAUCUCUCUUCACAUCUACUUCCAGUCAAUAUGUAGUCUGCCUUUUGUUACAUCAUUCAGUAGCAAGCUUCCAUAUAGUCACUAUAUUUCGGUUCUCCUUAACUCAGAAGCCCUAAUUUGAUGAGAAAAUGGAGAGAAAGUGCAAGGCUAUCUAGAGAGGACACCCAGAUAUGACAGCCUUCUGAGAACUACCAGCCAGCAUCACCUUCCUGCUUUGACCUUGGGUGAGCAGGAUUCUUGGGGUUUGGAAUUUCUAGUAAUAUCUUUGAAAGGGGUGAUUAGGCCUGAGACAGAGUGAGAUCUGAACUCCCUACUCACAUUAGUGGCCAAAGAAUCUGGUGGACUCUGUUAAACCUAUUCCUGGGUUUGACCUAUACCUCUAGUCUUAAAGAUGAGAGAAUUUGGAACUAUUUAAUCUUCUCUGACCCCUCUCCCUUUUAUGAGGAAAACUGAUUUAAACGAUUGACAAUAUGUAUGAAUGCACUGUAAUUCACAAGAGAAAAAGAACAUGUACGCAUUCAUAAUGAACUGGCAAUCAUGCACAGCUGAUAUUUCCAAGUACAAUGUUAAGUUGUAAAGCAUUGUGUAAAUCAGGGGUCAUUAUGAUAUUUCUGUAAGGGGUCUAAUUGUGAAUAUUUUAGAUUUCAUGGGCCUCUUCUAUAUUCCUUAAAAGAACCAUUCUUAGCUUGCAGGUCAAGUGGAUUUGGCCUGCUAGCCCAUAGUUUACCAAUUCCUGAUGCAAAUGCCUGAGAAUAUGUCUGAAUAAUAUUAAUUUCCUUCUCUAUGCCUAUCCCUGUGUUACUAAGUAUGCAGGGGCUUAUUCAUGAUCACAUCCAGGUGACAUGAAGAAAAAUAUAAGAAUGUGCCUUGUAAACUAUUAAGCACAUGAAAACUUUAAGUUUCCGUGUUGAUGAAGUAAUGUUCAUUACUUAUUGUAUGCAUUCUACAUGAGAUGCACCGUAGAUACAAAGAUUAAAUAAAAGAAGCCAGGAACGGUGGCUUAAACCUAUAAUCCCAGCUCUUCAGGACGCUGAGACAGGUGGAUCAUAAGUUCCAGGCCAGCCUCAGCAACUUAGUGAGACCCUGUCUCAAAAUAAAAAGAAAAGCUGGGGAUGAAUAAACAAGUGCUUUGUCAAAAGAAUACAAUACUAUGUAGACAUAAGUUUUCAAUAAAUGAAUAAUUUGAAUAUCAGGUCAAUGUGUUUCCACUGCUUUGAUGAUUCUGAAUAAAAAUACAGUACCUCAGAGAACAGAAAAAACACGGAAACUCCUCGUAAUCUACAAAAUAUAUUCCAAACACAAGUGAUUAAUAAAUUGUCAUCACCAACCAGGUGAUGAUCCCAGUGGCUCAGAAGGCUGAGGCAGGAAGAUUACAAGUGCAAAGCCAGCCUUAGCAACUGAGACCCUGUCCCUAAAUAAACAGACAGACAAAUAAAUAAAUAAAAAGGGCUGGGGAUGUGGCUCAGUGGUUAAGUGACCCUGGAUUCAAUCCUCAGUACCAAGAAAUUGUCCUUACUUAAAAGAGAACUCUAGUUGUGUUCCAAAACACACUUAAUGUGAUUUGGAGGUGUAAUAAAAAAACUAUAAAUGAAUGGAUAACUCUUUGUAUCAAAGAUACCAAAGUAGGACAAAAUAUAUUUUCGCUGAACUAAAAUUUUCAUAAAGGAAGUGCAUAUUAAAGUCCUCUGUAAACUGAAGCACUAUACAAAUAUUAACAGGCUACCUGUUUAUCAAUAUGAACUGCCUCUUCCAUACUAGCUAUUGUUUUGGGUCCAUGGUAUCCAUGAUUAAUUCUCCCAUGUAAUUAGGGGAACAUUAAUGCUCUAUGCUAUUCAGGUAUGAGAAAUGAGAUGAUACUUAAUUUACUAUUGAGGUCAUCUUAUACCAAUGCCAGUCUAUUUUCCCAGGUUAGAGGACAGGCUAAUGAAUAUGAUGAGUGCAUUCUUUAAACUAUAAAGCACUCUGAAAAGAAGAUGGUUUCUAUAUGAAUGAAACAACUUAUUUAUAAAAUAAGCAUUGUCUUUACAAAAUUCUCAUUGUGUAUGCUUGACUCACAAUGAGAAGGGUGGUAUAAUUAUAAAACCCAGGCCAGGUGGCAUGUUCCUGUAGUACCAGCAUUCAGGAACUUAAAACAGGUGGAUCACUUAAACCCAGGCACUCAAGGCCAGCCUGAGCAACACAGUGAGACCCUGGCUUAAAAAUAUACAACCAAGGGUUUAAAUAAUGAAAUAGUGGAUAAACAUUAAUUGUCUACUAUCUUAUCCACUGUUAUGGGCACUGAAGAAAGAUUUACCAUAUUUCUUUGUGCCCAGAGCUGAGAAUAAGGAAAUAUGUUGGCAUUUUGUGAACUCUAAAGCACCAUAUAAGUAUAGCUAUUGAUUUUCCAAUUUGGUGCUCCAUGCCAAGUUUAUAAAAUUCAGUUAUUAUACUAUUCUAAUAAAUUUUCAAAAUCCAAGGACUGUUAGUUAUUUAACACUUAACAUCUUAUGUAAGGCAUUCAAUGCCUGAUGAAUGCAAGAAUGGAUGGUAAUCAUCUGUUAGGUUCCAUUGUUCUUGCUUGGCACUGAGAUGCAAAGAUCUUUAUUCUGUCCUUGGUAGCAGAAGAAAUUAUGUAUAGUCUGAAUUUAUAAUUUUUUAAACUGCCAAACAUGCAUAAGCAAUAUCUUUUGAAUUAAUAAUGAUUAUAUUGCUUAUUUGUCUUAUUCCCAGAGAUGGCAAGUGGGGUACAAAAAUUCAUUAUUUUUAUUAAUGAACCUGAAACAGAGAUCUGUGUAUAUAUUUAUAAAGCCUACAACUCUCUUCAGAGAGGAGUUAAAUGUUGGCUUAAUCAGUAAUCAGUGAUUACUUUCUGUGAGGUUCAGAACCAUAUCCCUUAGAAUAGCAAAAUCAUUUUAUCAUUAUGGAGUACUCACAGGAGAAAAUGAAAUAACAAAUGUGAUAUUCAGACCAAAGGGUCUUGUAACCACUCACUCCUAAGCUUAUACAAUAAUGAAAACGGAGAAAAAAAUAGUUUUGUAUAAGGCAGUAUGCUAAAUGCUGAGCUAAGUAGAGGGAUAAAAUCCCAUCUACACUUGCCACCUGAUUCAGUGGAAAAGGUGGGAAAACAUUUUCUGGAAAGCAAGUAUGUGAUUUUUCCACCCAGUUUCUUAAAUAUUGAUUGGAUGCUGAUGAUGGACAUGAAUUAGAACCACCCUGGCCUGGCUCAGAGACAGUAAAGGAGUGAAAGAAAAUGGCUUACCUGUCUAAUUAAUCUGACAAGUAAAGCAUCUUUUAUGUGGAAUGUGCCACUCUAGGUCCAAAAGAUAAGUAAAGCGAAAUGGACCUAGUAUAAACGACAUUAGGUCACUGAUCACAGCACCAGAUAGACAACACUUCAUUGAUUAUUAAAUAAAUAAUAUUUCAGUGUCUGGUCACUGCAAGGCAUUGUGUUCAAUGAAUUAGUAAGGAGGUCUGGUUCAGAAGACCCAUUAACUUGCCUUGGAGAUUUGAGAAAACACAGAAAAAAAGGGCAAGAUUCCUUCAAUGUAACAUGAAAAAGUAAAAUAAAGACAUUUUUCCUACUUCUGGGAAAGAGCCAAAGACACUGGCUGUCGACCUCCUUUAAAGCCUGAAGACUGAUAAAAGGGCUCACAGUUUGAACUUAAUGAAUUAAUUAAACAAACAUAGAAUGUUUACUACAAUUAAGUGAUUCAAAAGGAGAAUAAAAAUGAAAACAAUGGUUUUUAGAAAUAUUUGCUCAUUGCUUGGCUUAAAAACAGGAAGACACAUGAGCAAUAAAAAAAGGAUUUUCAAAUUUACCAUAUGUAGUAAAAAUGUAUUAAAACUGAAUAAAGUAUUGUUUUUAAGUGCUCAGUAGAACGAGGACAUUUUUAAACACCUAAACCAAAAUGCACUCUUUAUCUCAAUAGCAUAUAGUGGAAACACAAGAACACAUUUAAUAAGAGACUACGGUUCUUUUUUACUUGAAAAAACUUAUCAAACAGUUGUGAUAUGGAAGACACUGAGAAGGAACAACUAAGUAGAUUAACUUCUCAUUGGCAUGCUUGGUACAGUGGGAAUAACACUUUAUUAUGGGCUUUCUGUUUUUUCAUUCAGACAUAUCACUGAAGAUGAUGCUAAAAUACUAAAUGAAAUAGAUGUGUUCCAAAACACACUUAAUGUGAUUUGGAGGUACAAUAAAAAAAACCAUAAAGGAACUGAUAACUCUUUGUAUCAAACAGAAGUAUCUAUUUUGUCAAGCCACUAUGUUAAAUCUCAGAAAACAAAAAAGAGCUUGACUGAAAGACUGUGAAUUCUUUUCGAGAAUGGACAAUCAAUAUUGAUUCAUUUUCCUCAUUUAUUUAUCCAUUCUACAAGUAUAUAUGGGCGCCUAUUGGAUGUAAGUUCCUUAGGUUGGCCCAGACAUUAGACAAGAUGCUUGCCUUUCCAGAGGGUUUCUUAAACUUUGCUUCUGGCAUGUUUUCUGGUUAAGGGCAUGGCUAAGUCCCCAAAUAAAUAACAUUGUGUAGUUUUAUUCCUCCCCAACACCUCUUCUACCAUUCUGGCCACUAUGAUGAGUGGGUAGCUGGGUUCUGUUAAUGAGCGUAUUCCUUAAGUUGGUGGUACCCUCCACUAUAGAAGCUAGUUAAUUUUCCUUGCCCAUGCCUCAUGUAAAAUGAUUAUAACUACUGCUGGAGAGGAAAGAUGAGAGCCAUCUAAUUCCCAAACCCCAGUCUCAUUGCUAUCUAUACCUUGGGGAACCACCCAGACAACUGGUUUUGAAUGAAUUUGUCUGUUUUCAUGUACAUGUCUCAUGCAUGUACAUCCCCUAAUAGAUUUCUUUCAGAAAGAGUCCUCAGAUAGCACAUGAGUAAAAUGUAGAUGGAGACAUGAUUUUUCUUGGAGCAAUUCUCCAUACUCAGGAAGGGCUUGUUAUGGCAGAAUAUUGUCAGUAGAUGAGAAGAGCUUAAAUUUUUACUUGGCUUGCUUCAGUUUUAAGAACAAUAAAAAUUGAAAAAAAAAAAACUGGAGGAAAAAAUACCAAAAAUAAAAAUAACAAAUAAUCCUCUAAAUGCAUGCCUGGCUAGGUUUUGGCCUUUUCCAUUUUUAAAUCACUCACAGAGGGUGGGACAGGAGGAAGAGUGAAGGAAAAGGUCAAACCUGUGUCUAAGGGCAGCCUCCAUUUGUUCUGAAUUGGCUUGGGAGCAUUACUAGCUCCUGGCCUCACUGAAUUAAUGUGACCCCUGAUGGUUUCCUUAACCAAAAUUUGCUGUGAAGGAGGUGUACUUUAUUUACAUGGCAAGUCAGCACUGAUACCCAUAAAUGGAAAAGGAAAUAGAUAUAUGGUGGAGGGAGCAAUAUUAAAAGGAAUUUGGGAGUGAUAUUUUCUAGCUUUGACUAUGUACAUUUUUAGUUGGAUACAGCUGAAAUAGUAAUAAUGCUCACUUUUAAAGUGUGGCAUCAGCCUGACUCAGCAACACUUCUCUCUUUAGGUGGGGGGUGGGGGACAGCUACAGGAAUGUGGAAAUGCAGUUCCUGCAUUCCUGAGCACUAUUCAUUAAAUAAGAAAAAGCAAAAAAUACCCCACUCCACACACCUGCUUUUAUAAUGUUAAUGAAGCUGCCCAACAAACCCUUUCUAAAGGAAAUGGCUUCAUCUACAUUCUUUAAAGUGAAACCAAGACACCUGGGCUGGCCUACAGGUGUGUAAGACCUCUUCUGUCAGGUCUUUUGUUUAGAAGCUUGAAAAAUCUUGCUCAGACAGGAUGAGCACCCAAAAGCAAUCCUAAGUAACCCUUAUUAUACAAACUUACAGGAACUGGAGAACUGUUUCAACUGUUUAAACCAUCUGUUCACUGUUAAAUAAAAUGUUCUGGUUUUGAAACUUUUA